CCUACGGGAGGCAGCAGCGAGGAAUCUUGGGCAAUGGGCGAAAGCCUGACCCAGCGACGCCGCGUGGGGGAAGAAGGCCUUCGGGUCGUAAACCCCUUUUGCCGGGGAAGAAGCCCUGACGGUACCCGGCGAAUAAGCCAUGGCUAACUACGUGCCAGCAGCCGCGGUAAUACGUAGGUGGCAAGCGUUGUCCGGAUUUACUGGGCGUAAAGGGCGUGUAGGCGGUCCGUUAAGUCCGGUGUGAAAUCUCCCGGCCUAACCGGGAGGGGUCAUCGGAUACGGACGGGCUAGAGGGGGGAAGAGGAAGGCGGAAUUCCCGGUGUAGCGGUGAUAUGCGUAGAUAUCGGGAGGAACACCAGUGGCGAAGGCGGCCUUCUGGGCCUCCCCUGACGCUGAGGCGCGAAAGCGUGGGGAGCGAACCGGAUUAGAUACCCGGGUAGU
rnacentral:rRNA from 1 species